GGCAGUGCUGUUAAACCGGUUUGGCAACUGUAGCUAACAGGCUCCUGUUUUAGACAUGCUUGCAGGCGUUUUUAAAAACGGUAGCUUGGGGCAACUUAGAAAAAUCAAACAUCUCUAUUUUCUGUACCUUUUAGUUUCUUACCUGUUACAUAGGGCUAAGGAGGUAAAUAAGUUCAAACUCUUUCUUAGAGCCAGCCAAAGAGAUUCCGAUAUGUACUUGCAACACUG
rnacentral:lncRNA from 1 species